rnacentral:lncRNA from 1 species
AAGGACAGACGCCUGGUCCUCUGUCCUGUCCCAUUACCAUGAGGCCUGUCCACGCAGCUGGCAGUGCCUAGGCAGUUACCGCUGAGUCAGAGAUCUCCAAGGUGCUUUUGCACAACCACUUUGGAAACUCAAGUAAAGGACCUUUCUUUUCAGGUGAAAUUCAUCUUGGUAGACUUGACCUAUAUUGGUCUUUGGAGAGGUAUGUAGUGUUUAUUUCUGCCAUCCCACCUAUUUACUGACUCUUCUAGUUUCGGCUGUUAGAAAAUUUGAUACACCUCCUUUCUAUAGUUUCAUUUGAGUUACUGCUUUAAAAGAUGUUGCCUGGGAGGGGGCUGAGCCAUCGGUCACACACAUACAGAUUGUCUUCUAGAGCUUGACAUCAGACUGGGGUCAGUAUCUUUUGGGUGUGUUUCCUAAGCCAACCAAUAAUCUCCCAUAUCGUGGUCCUCAAAUUUAGAAUUCGCCAAGGGAUCCAGAAGGCUACCAUGAGAGAAGAUAUGUGCCUUUCUGAAAUCCAGUGUACUUGGCCCCCUGAUAUUUUGCAGGAGACAAGAGAUAUGUUAUGAAUGCAAAUGUAAACAUCAUAACUACAGUUUUGUAAGGAGCAAGUGUUUUUUGCCCGGAAGAACUGGUGUAUGUUUUGGACAUGCUAGGGAGCUGGGUCUGUAAAAGAGAACUGACCACAAAGAGAAAUGGGUCAAAAGAGAAUUUGAGAUAAAUCAAAAGCAGGGACUGGAGCAGCAGUUUGUGAAAAAGGCAGACGUUUCACUGACAUUGGAGGUCCUGUGACUGCAAGAGUAGAUCUUGGGCUAGAAGCACUAUUUCCCUCUAGAAAAACAGCCAUAAGACCUGGAUUCUUCCAAAUCUAGAAACUCCAGGCAGGUUCUCAACACCCCAUACUGAACCUCCCUGCCUCUGCUAAUGCUAUGCCUUCUGGAAUUCCUUUCCUUGCUGUCACUUGGCAAAUAUCUCAUCCUUCAUUUCCAUUGCAAUUCUUACAUCCUGUUAACAAGUCGGGUCUGCCUCCUCCUCGCUUCUGAUUCUAGCCUUUCCCGAUAGAACUGCUUCUCCCAUUGUGACCUUUUUGUUCCCUGUAGAAAUGUUCCUGGUUUUCAUUUGCACCGAAAACAUUUUAUGGAGGAAAGACCACAGGCUUUGAAGUCCAGUAGGGUUAGAUUUCUACUCUGACCUUGCAUUGUAUUUUAACCUAAAACGCCGUUUCCUCAUCUGUAAGUUUGGGACAAGAAUAAAUACUCAACAGGACUGGCAUGAGGAACCAAUAGAUAAUGAGCAGAGAGCACUAUUAACUGCUCUAUUAGUUAUCUCUUGCUGCAUGACUAAUUCCCCAAAUUUAGUGGCUUAACCCAACACUAAAUGCUAUUUCAAAUAGUUUCUGUGGGUCAGGAAUUUGGGAAUGGCUUGGCUUAGUGUUUCUGGCUUGAGGUUCACCAUGAAGUUGCAGUAAGAAUUGUUUGAAACUGGAGGCUCUGCUUCCAAGAAGGCUGAGUCACAUGGUUGUUGGCAGAAGGUUUCAGUUCCAACCUGGUUACUGGUGGGAGGCUUCAGUCCUUCUCCAGGUGGACCUCCCCACAGGGCUUCUUGAGUGUCUUUACCACAUGGCAGUUGGGCUUCUCUAGGGUGACUGAUCCGAGAGAGAGCAAGGUGGAGGAGGUGACAUCACUUAGGGCCUCGCUGAGAAGUCACCCACCAUUUCUUCCCACAAAUUCUGUUACAAAUGUCAGUCUUACUCCCUAUAGAAGGGGUUUUACAGAGCACUUGAAUAGCAGGCAGCGAGGGUCUUUGGGGGCCGUGUUGGAAGCUGGCUUUCCCACGUACCUAGCCCAAUGUUUAUCAAAAGCAUAUCAUAUCUUAAUUUUCUUUAUCCAUUAAUCUGUCAGUGGACAGUUUGUUUCCACCUUAUAAAUAAUAUGCUUUUAUAUAUAUAAUGGACUAUUAUUCAGCCUUAAAUAUAAUAUAUAUUAUAUAUAUAAUGGAAUAUUAUUCAGCCUUAAAAAAUGAAGACAUCCUACCAUUUGCAACAACAUGGGUGAAAUUGAGGGACAUUAAGCAAAGUGAAUUAAGUCAGACACAGACAAGUAUUGCAUGAUCUCAUACGUAGAAUCUAAAAAGGAAAAAAAGUGGAACUCAUAGUAGUAGAGAGUAGAAUGGUAGUUAUGGAGGUGAGGGGUGGGGGAAAAGUGGAGAUAUGGAUCAAAACAUACAGACUUUCAGUUAUGAGUAAGUUCUGAAAACCUAAUGCACCACACGGUGUUUGUAGUUAAUAAUAAUGUGUUAUAUUCUUGAAAUUUGCUAAGAGAGUAAUUCUCAAGUCUUCUCACUACACAUAUACAAAAUGUUUAACUAUGGGAGGUGAUAGGUUAGCUAGUUUCAUUAUGGUAAUGAUUUCACAAUGUAUACCUAUAUCGAAACAUGAUAUUGUAGACUUUAAAUAUACAUAAUUUUAUAUUUGUCAAAAAUAAAAGUAUAUUUUAGAAAAGCAUAUUCAGAGUUUCCAUUGUGGCUCAGUGGCAAUGAACCUGACAAGUAUCCAUGAGGACGUGGGUUCGAUCCCUGGCCUUGCUCAAUGGGUUAAAGAUCCAGUGUUGCCAUGAUACUGUGGCAUAGGUUGCAGAUGUGGCUCAGAUCCUGAGUUGCUGUGGCUGUGGUGUGAGCUGGCAGUUACAGCUCCAAUUUUACCACUAGCCUGGGAACUUCCAUAUGCCACAGGUGCGGCCCUAAAAAAUAAAAAAACAAAAUAAAAAA